CACCUCAUACACAUAGUAGGAUCUCCAAUUCUCUCGAAAGAUACUUGAGUAUGCUUAACAGAGGAUAUAGAGAAAAUCAUUUCUCAUAGGAGAUGGAGAGCAUAGAGAUGAUCUUAAAACUUAUAAUAAGGCGAUGUAAGGCAUCGACUCUAAGAAAAUGAUGUGAAUUAGCUUUUUUGACUGGAUAUCUUUUGAAAAUUUCUAUAUGGAAUAGCUUAUGGAUUUCACUUCUUGUGAUAGGAGAUCAUAAAGUCUACAAUACUCUUAGAGUUAAAACAUUCAUUUUGAUGAUAUGAUUAAAUUGUUU
rnacentral:lncRNA from 1 species